GAUGAACGCUGGCGGCGUGCUUAACACAUGCAAGUCGAACGGAAAGGCCCAAGCUUGCUUGGGUACUCGAGUGGCGAACGGGUGAGUAACACGUGGGUGAUCUGCCCUGCACUUCGGGAUAAGCCUGGGGAACUGGGUCUAAUACCGGAUAGGACCACUUCUUGGAUGUUGUGGUGGAAAGUUUUUCGGUGUGGGAUGAGCUCGCGGCCUAUCAGCUUGUUGGUGGGGUAAUGGCCUACCAAGGCGUCGACGGGUAGCCGGCCUGAGAGGGUGUACGGCCACAUUGGGACUGAGAUACGGCCCAGACUCCUACGGGAGGCAGCAGAGGGGAAUAUUGCACAAUGGGCGCAAGCCUGAUGCAGCGACGCCGCGUGGGGGAUGACGGCCUUCGGGUUGUAAACUCCUUUCGCUAGGGACGAAGCUUAUUUUGUGACGGUACCUGGAGAAGAAGCACCGGCUAACUACGUG
rnacentral:rRNA from 1 species